UCCUGGUUAGCUCAGUUUGUAGAGCUUUCCACAGGAAAUGGAGAGAUUCCUAAUUCAAUACCAGGACCAAGCG
rnacentral:tRNA from 1 species